UUUAAAUUCUAACAUUGUUAGUUUGUAAUAAAAUGUAUUGUUUCUAAGGGAGAAACCUUUGAAGUUCCAGAAAUUGUGCCAUUUCGCCUGACUCAUAAUAUGGUUAAUGGAAUGGGUCCUAUGGGAACAGAGGGUCUUUUUCGAAGAGCAUGUGAAGUUACAAUGAGGCUGAUGCGUGAUCAGCGAGAGCCUUUAAUGAGUGUCUUAAAGACUUUUCUACAUGAUCCUCUUGUGGAAUGGAGUAAACCAGUGAAAGGGCAUUCCAAAGCGCCACUGAAUGAAACUGGAGAAGUUGUCAAUGAAAAGGUUAGUAGAAGGUAUAGCUUGAUAUGGGCUGUAGUCCUCAUCUCUACAAAUGAACUUGAUAUGCAGCUAUAGUUCUCAUCUCUAUGCAUGAGAACUGCUUGGAAAUACUGUUAGUGACUAUUGAUUACUCUGAAAUCUAGUUCUCUAGUAUCACAAUGCCAUAAGUUUUCUUUAUUGUCAGUAAUGUUAACAGUAUUCGCAUUUGUAUAAUAAAAGUUCAUGGCACACUUGUUUAACCAUAGACAAUUCACAGUUAUGAGAUACAGUAGGAAAAACUAUAGUACAAAUUGCCUGAACUUACAGAACAACAGGUCUGAGCUUUAAUAUCAUGAUACCAGUAUGUCACAAGCUAUGUUAACAAAUGCAGCAAUUCAC
rnacentral:lncRNA from 1 species